rnacentral:rRNA from 1 species
UACGUAGGGUGCGAGCGUUGUCCGGAAUUAUUGGGCGUAAAGAGCUCGUAGGCGGUUUGUUGCGUCUAUCGUGAAAACCUGCAGCUUAACUGUGGGCUUGCGGUGGAUACGGGCAGACUUGAGUUCGGUAGGGGAGACUGGAAUUCCUGGUGUAGCGGUGAAAUGCGCAGAUAUCAGGAGGAACACCGGUGGCGAAGGCGGGUCUCUGGGCCGAUACUGACGCUGAGACGCGAAAGCGUGGGGAGCGAACAGG